CGCACCGCCGCGCAGCCACCGUCCGAUUCGCCCCCCUAACCGACCGAGCUGGGAAGUCUGAGCACCGACAGACAAUACAAAAAAGACGCACAGGGAGAAGAAUAAUGAUGAAAAUGGAGGAUUUCAAAUUCCCAUGCAGGAUCACACCCCCUCGCCUCCCAGACCUGAAGAAGGCAGCGGGCCUCAUGUCAAAAAGAUUCCCAGGAAUACCACCAAGGAAAAUGGCCACCAGUAUCUACAGCGCUGGUCACAAGACCAUUACAGGGAAGGCCAGUUAAAAUCCUUCAACAGCAACGAUCCGAGACCAAAAUAUACAUCAAUACAACCAAGAAAGGAUUUUCAUUCAUUAAUGUUUAUUAGAUCACAUUACACAUCUCGAGUACUACUCUACAGGCUUUGUAGGGAGCUUUUUAGAGCCUGGAUGACCCUGAUGAUGUUAUUGUGAUGUCCUCGAGGUCAUUUCGGCUAUUUUAUUGUACAGAAAACUGACAUAUAAAAAUAGUAGUGACAUUUCUAAAAUGUUUUUUAUUUAGGAAGCAGUGAAAACAAUGAAUGUACACUACUGUUCAAAAGUUUGGGGUCACUUAGAAAUGUCUUUAUUUUUCAAAGAAAAGCACUGUUUUUUCAAUAAAGAUAACAUUAAUCAAAAAUACACACUAUACAUUGUUAAUGUGGUAAAUGACUAUUCUAGGUGGAAGUGUCUGGUUUCGAAUGAAAUAUCUCCAUAGGUGUAUAGAGGCCCAUUUCCAUCAACUAUCACUCCAGUGUUCUAAUGGUACAUUGUGUUUGCUAAUCGCCUUAGAAGACUAAUAUCUGAUUAGAAAACCCUUGUGCAAUUAUGCUAGCACAGCUGAAAACAGUUAUGCUGGUGAUAUAAGCUAUAACUGGCCUUCCUUUGAGCUUGAAGUUUGAAGAACAAAAUUAAUACUUCAAAUAUUAAUCAUUAUUUCUAACCUUGUCAAUGUCUUGACUAUAUGUUCUAUGAAAUGUUCAAUUCAUUUGAUAAAUAAAAGUGUGAGUUUUCAUGGAAGACACGAAAUUGUCUGGGUGACCCCAAACUUUUGAACGGUAGUGUACGUCUAUAUUUUAUGAUUUACUUCUGUUGCCUCGAUUUGAACAAUUUCUUUUUUUUAACACGUCUCUUCAUUCCCUUCAUUUAAUGAAAGUGUAAUGGUGGCGUAUCCCUUUAAAUGCCUUUAUUUUUCUUCUGCAACUUCAAAGUCGAAUAAACUGUGUUUACCUCC